GCCUUGGUAGCUCAGCCGGCAGCGCCCGUGCUUUUCAAGCCCGUGGCCGCGGGUUCGAGCCACGCUCGAGGUG
rnacentral:tRNA from 1 species